UACGAAGGUCCCAAGCGUUGUUCGGAAUCACUGGGCGUAAGGGGAGCGUAGGCGGCGUGGUAAGUCAGAUGUGAAAUCCCGGGGCUCAACCCCGGAACUGCAUCCGAUACUGCCAUGCUAGAGGAUUGGAGAGGUAGCUGGAAUUCUUGGUGUAGCAGUGAAAUGCGUAGAGAUCAAGAGGAACACUCGUGGCGAAAGCGAGCUACUGGACAAUUCCUGACGCUGAGGCUCGAAGGCUAGGGUAGCGAAAGGG
rnacentral:rRNA from 1 species